CGGUUAAGUUAGAAAGGGCGCACGGUGGAUGCCUUGGCACUAGGAGCCGAUGAAGGACGGGACGAACACCGAUAUGCUUCGGGGAGCUGUAAGCAAGCUUUGAUCCGGAGAUUUCCGAAUGGGGAAACCCACCACUCGUAAUGGAGUGGUAUCCAUAUCUGAAUACAUAGGAUAUGAGAAGGCAGACCCGGGGAACUGAAACAUCUAAGUACCCGGAGGAAGAGAAAGCAAAUGCGAUUCCCUGAGUAGCGGCGAGCGAAACGGGACCAGCCCAAACCAAGAGGCUUGCCUCUUGGGGUUGUAGGACACUCUGUACGGAGUUACAAAGGAACGAGGUAGAUGAAGAGGUCUGGAAAGGCCCGCCAUAGAAGGUAACAGCCCUGUAGUCAAAACUUCGUUCUCUCCUGAGUGGAUCCUGAGUACGGCGGAACACGUGAAAUUCCGUCGGAAUCCGGGAGGACCAUCUCCCAAGGCUAAAUACUCCCUAGUGACCGAUAGUGAACCAGUACCGUGAGGGAAAGGUGAAAAGCACCCCGGAAGGGGAGUGAAAGAGAUCCUGAAACCGUGUGCCUACAAGUAGUCAGAGCCCGUUAACGGGUGAUGGCGUGCCUUUUGUAGAAUGAACCGGCGAGUUACGAUCCCGUGCAAGGUUAAGCAGAAGAUGCGGAGCCGCAGCGAAAGCGAGUCUGAAUAGGGCGAAUUGAGUACGUGGUCGUAGACCCGAAACCAGGUGAUCUACCCAUGUCCAGGGUGAAGUUCAGGUAACACUGAAUGGAGGCCCGAACCCACGCACGUUGAAAAGUGCGGGGAUGAGGUGUGGGUAGGGGUGAAAUGCCAAUCGAACCUGGAGAUAGCUGGUUCUCUCCGAAAUAGCUUUAGGGCUAGCCUCAAGGUAAGAGUCUCGGAGGUAGAGCACUGAUUGGACUAGGGGCCCCUACCGGGUUACCGAAUUCAGUCAAACUCCGAAUGCCGAUGACUUAUCCUUGGGAGUCAGACUGCGAGUGAUAAGAUCCGUAGUCGAAAGGGAAACAGCCCAGACCGCCAGCUAAGGUCCCAAAGUAUACGUUAAGUGGAAAAGGAUGUGGAGUUGCUUAGACAACCAGGAUGUUGGCUUAGAAGCAGCCACCAUUUAAAGAGUGCGUAAUAGCUCACUGGUCGAGUGACUCUGCGCCGAAAAUGUACCGGGGCUAAACGUAUCACCGAAGCUGCGGACUGUUCUUCGAACAGUGGUAGGAGAGCGUUCUAAGGGCUGUGAAGCAAGACCGGAAGGACUUGUGGAGCGCUUAGAAGUGAGAAUGCCGGUAUGAGUAGCGAAAGAGGGGUGAGAAUCCCCUCCACCGAAUGCCUAAGGUUUCCUGAGGAAGGCUCGUCCGCUCAGGGUUAGUCGGGACCUAAGCCGAGGCCGAAAGGCGUAGGCGAUGGAUAACAGGUUGAUAUUCCUGUACCACCUCCUCACCAUUUGAGCAAUGGGGGGACGCAGGAGGAUAGGGUAAGCGCGGUAUUGGAUAUCCGCGUCCAAGCAGUUAGGCUGGGAAAUAGGCAAAUCCGUUUCCCGUGAAGGCUGAGCUGUGAUGGCGAGCGAAUUAUAGUAGCGAAGUUCCUGAUUCUACACUGCCAAGAAAAGCCUCUAGCGAGGUGAGAGGUGCCCGUACCGCAAACCGACACAGGUAGGCGAGGAGAGAAUCCUAAGGUGAUCGAGAGAACUCUCGUUAAGGAACUCGGCAAAAUGACCCCGUAACUUCGGGAGAAGGGGUGCUCUGUUAGGGUGCAAGCCCGAGAGAGCCGCAGUGAAUAGGCCCAGGCGACUGUUUAGCAAAAACACAGGUCUCUGCGAAGCCGUAAGGCGAAGUAUAGGGGCUGACGCCUGCCCGGUGCUGGAAGGUUAAGAGGAGCGCUUAGCGUAAGCGAAGGUGCGAAUUGAAGCCCCAGUAAACGGCGGCCGUAACUAUAACGGUCCUAAGGUAGCGAAAUUCCUUGUCGGGUAAGUUCCGACCCGCACGAAAGGCGCAACGAUCUGGGCACUGUCUCAACGAGAGACUCGGUGAAAUUAUAGUACCUGUGAAGAUGCAGGUUACCCGCGACAGGACGGAAAGACCCCGUGGAGCUUUACUGCAGCCUGAUAUUGAAUGUUGGUACAGCUUGUACAGGAUAGGUAGGAGCCUUGGAAACCGGAGCGCCAGCUUCGGUGGAGGCAUCGGUGGGAUACUACCCUGGCUGUAUUGACCUUCUAACCCGCCGCCCUUAUCGGGCGGGGAGACAGUGUCAGGUGGGCAGUUUGACUGGGGCGGUCGCCUCCUAAAAGGUAACGGAGGCGCCCAAAGGUUCCCUCAGAAUGGUUGGAAAUCAUUCGCAGAGUGUAAAGGCACAAGGGAGCUUGACUGCGAGACCUACAAGUCGAGCAGGGACGAAAGUCGGGCUUAGUGAUCCGGUGGUUCCGCAUGGAAGGGCCAUCGCUCAACGGAUAAAAGCUACCCCGGGGAUAACAGGCUUAUCUCCCCCAAGAGUCCACAUCGACGGGGAGGUUUGGCACCUCGAUGUCGGCUCAUCGCAUCCUGGGGCUGUAGUCGGUCCCAAGGGUUGGGCUGUUCGCCCAUUAAAGCGGUACGCGAGCUGGGUUCAGAACGUCGUGAGACAGUUCGGUCCCUAUCCGUCGCGGGCGCAGGAAAUUUGAGAGGAGCUGUCCUUAGUACGAGAGGACCGGGAUGGACGCACCGCUGGUGUACCAGUUGUUCUGCCAAGGGCAUCGCUGGGUAGCUAUGUGCGGACGGGAUAAGUGCUGAAAGCAUCUAAGCAUGAAGCCCCCCUCAAGAUGAGAUUUCCCAUUCCGCAAGGAAGUAAGAUCCCUGAAAGAUGAUCAGGUUGAUAGGUCUGAGGUGGAAGUGUGGCGACACAUGGAGCUGACAGAUACUAAUCGAUCGAGGACUUAACCAAUUU
rnacentral:rRNA from 1 species